rnacentral:rRNA from 1 species
GACGAACGCUGGCGGCGUGCUUAACACAUGCAAGUCGAGCGGUAAGGCCCUUUCGGGGGUACACGAGCGGCGAACGGGUGAGUAACACGUGGGUGACCUGCCCUCAGCUCUGGGAUAAGCCCGGGAAACUGGGUCUAAUACCGGAUAUGACUCCAUGACGCAUGUUGUGGGGUGGAAAGCCUUGUGCGGCUGAGGAUGGGCCCGCGGCCUAUCAGCUUGUUGGUGGGGUGAUGGCCUACCAAGGCGACGACGGGUAGCCGGCCUGAGAGGGCGACCGGCCACACUGGGACUGAGACACGGCCCAGACUCCUACGGGAGGCAGCAGUGGGGAAUCUUGCGCAAUGGGCGAAAGCCUGACGCAGCGACGCCGCGUAGAGGAU